rnacentral:rRNA from 1 species
GAUGAACGCUGGCGGCGUGCCUAAUACAUGCAAGUCGAGCGAACAGACGAGGAGCUUGCUCCUCUGACGUUAGCGGCGGACGGGUGAGUAACACGUGGAUAACCUACCUAUAAGACUGGGAUAACUUCGGGAAACCGGAGCUAAUACCGGAUAAUAUAUUGAACCGCAUGGUUCAAUAGUGAAAGACGGUUUUGCUGUAACUUAUAGAUGGAUCCGCGCCGCAUUAGCUAGUUGGUAAGGUAACGGCUUACCAAGGCAACGAUGCGUAGCCGACCUGAGAGGGUGAUCGGCCACACUGGAACUGAGACACGGUCCACACUCCGACGGGAGGCAGCAGUAGGGAAUCUUACGCAAUGGGCGAAAGCCUGACGGAGCAACGCCGCGUGAGGGAUGAAGGUCUUCGGAUCGUAAAACUCUGUUAUUAGUGAAGAACAAAUGUGUAAGUAACUAUGCACGUCUUGACGGUACCUAAUCAGAAAGCCACGGCUAACUACGUG